GACAGAGGAGCCAAGCGUUGUCCGGAUUGACUGGGCGUAAAGCGCACGCAGGCGGUCGCGCGCGUGGGGUGUGAAAUCUGGCCGCUUAACGGCCAGGCGCCAUCCCAUACGGCGCGACUGGAGUGAUGCAGAGGUCGAUGGAAUUGCCGGUGUAGUGGUGAAAUGCGUAGAGAUCGGCAGGAACACCCAGGGGGAAACCAGUCGACUGGGGAUGUGCUGACGCUGAGGUGCGAGAGCGUGGGGAGCGAACCGG
rnacentral:rRNA from 1 species